UCAUCUUUUCCUCCCUCCCUUUCAGUUCCUUCGCCUUUAAUCCCUCCCCACCUCCCGUGAGCCCCUCUCCCUUCCCAAUCAACCCCGAGGAGUGCGGCCAUAAUAGUCCUCCACCAUCGCUGCUGUGAGCGAGGAAUAACAUGGCCGCAGCCCCCAUUACUUCGUGUGCGCACCGUCGGGUUCGAUGGCAAGGAGCUGCAACGACCAUGACACCGCCGGAUUCAAUGGUGAGGAGCUGCACCAACAAAUUCUACAACCUAGGAUUCACAGACGAGGAGCCGCGACGACCUUGCCGCUGUUGGGUUCGAUGGCAAGAAUCUGCAGCAGCCCCUUCUGCGAUUGGAGCUCCGCUACCCUCGCUCCCUCCCGCAUCAUUCAAAUCUCGCCAGAUGUGUCACAAAGAAAAGAUAGGAUGUUGACAGGGAAACAACAACAAUGGUCAAAAAAUUCCUAGGAUAAUACAUGAAGGGCGAACAAUCUAGCAAGGUAAUGUUCUAUACUUCAUAUUGUCACAUGGCAAUAGCGUCAAGACUGAUUAAAUAUUAGUCUACACAUCAGGCCAUCAUGGUUAGAUUCAGUAUGAUGGGAACCUUUACAAUUCACUUUGAUGAGGCUAAAAUGGAGAUUAUGCAACCUACAGUAAACUUAUUUACUUUUAUGAAGGCAUGCAUAUAGCGAUUUUACUGGAUAUUUUGAGCAAUAAGGAUCCAUGUUGUGUGUAGCCUUCAAACUUUUCUUACAAGUUUUAUGGAAUGAUGGCACUGUUCAUGUAUCAAAAAGCUUAUUCCUCUAUUAAACGUGUCACGACAGUUGGCAUCCUCCAUUUGAUACAAUAUAUAUGUUUCUGUUUCCUUCUUACCAAAGCAUAUGCACUAAUGACCUUAGUGUCACCAUCAUUUUCUUCACCUUUUGUACAGAUCCACCAGGGACGAUUCAUGCCACAUCUGGACGUCAGUUCACUAAACAAAUUAUACCCUCAUGCAUCUAUAUUUCUCUUCCAUUUUUCUAUUGUGCAUGGUUAUACAUUGAGAUGUUAAUAUAGUGAGAUAUAUACUUAUAUAAGGAUGUUCGGUACCUUGCUAUUUUUUCAAUGCUAACCCUGAUUUAUGAGCUUCGACAGGUACACUUUUCUGAACUCUUACUAGCUUUUGUGAUUAGAGUAUUUGGAUUACAUACAUAUUAUUAAGCCUGUUACCGAUUCUCUCUAGCAUUUUGUGAAAUACUUCUUAGUUUGACUUCUCCCGAGGAAACUUGGAAGGGAGAGAGGUUUAGAUGUUCUGUGUUCAGCAGGUUAACUGCACUUACAUGAUAUUGGUAUCUCUAUUCAAUGUCUUUUGAUAAUGAGGAUUGCAGAUUAUUUGCAAUUUCCAAUUCGAUAGUGGGACUUGCAAGUUGGUACCAUUGGCUAUCAACUAAACUGGUAUUGUUUUUGCUCUGGAUGAUAUCUUGGUCACUACAUGCAAAUAUUUUGUAGACAGCAAUUGUCUGUUCAGAGUGUCACUAUAACUUCUGCAUUCUUCUACAGUGACACUUCAUGUUGAGUGCACAUGAUUUAUCACUGCAUGUUCUAUUUGUUUUGCAGGUCACAGAUUAUGCGUACUCUUUUAAAGUCAUUUUCUUAUGCUAAUUCUGCUAAUAGGAUGGUGUUUUUAUUCUGGUAUUCAUGUUAUCAGGAUAUUUAGCUUAUUUCAGUUUGAGGAGAAAUAAGCUAACUGACCAUGUCAUUGUUUAUUAGGACAGUGUACUAUUGACCUCAACUAGAUAUGCAAGAAAUGAUUUAGGACA